rnacentral:rRNA from 1 species
GUCAGCCCGUGUUGUGAAAUGUUGGGUUAAGUCCCGCAACGAGCGCAACCCUUAUCCUUGUUUGCCAGCACUUCGGGUGGGAACUCCAGGGAGACUGCCGGUGAUAAACCGGAGGAAGGUGGGGACGACGUCAAGUCAUCAUGGCCCUUACGAGUAGGGCUACACACGUGCUACAAUGGCGCAUACAGAGGGCGGCCAACUUGCGAAAGUGAGCGAAUCCCAAAAAGUGCGUCGUAGUCCGGAUUGGAGUCUGCAACUCGACUCCAUGAAGUCGGAAUCGCUAGUAAUCGUGGAUCAGAAUGCCACGGUGAAUACGUUCCCGGGCCUUGUACACACCGCCCGUCACACCAUGGGAGUGGGCUGCAAAAGAAGUGGGUAGUUUAACCUUCGGGAGGACGCUCACCACUUUGUGGUUCAUGACUGGGGUGAAGUCGUAACAAGGUAACCG